GAAUUAAUCCACAUUACUUCCCACUCCUUUCUUUUCUCUCUGACUUUGCCUUUCUGUAAAGUGGUGGUGGAUAGAGAAAAAGCUAUGGCAGCAUUUUCUGCGAAUAUUAUCUGUCAAACUAAAACUUUCAUUCCUUCAUCUCCUAUUCUCAAAUUCCGAAACCCAAAAUUCGUCUCCAAAUCUGCAUAUAUACGUUCUUACUAUCUCCUUAAUCAAAUUCAUCGGAAUUCUGUUUCCAUGUCUGCCGCCAACGUUGCCUCUGACGUCGAGGUUCAACAAAAUCUCUCUAAUCCCACCACUCCCGCAUGGGAAGAAUUUGCUAGAAAUGUGUCAGGAGAAUGGGAUGGGCACGGUGCAGAUUUCACUAAAGAAGGCGAGCCAAUUGAACUUCCUGAAAACGUAGUACCGGAUGCAUAUAGAGACUGGGAGGUUCGAGUUUUCGAUUGGGUAACACAAUGCCCUACGCUCGCCGAGUCUGAUAAGUCUGCUCUUUUUUAUAAGUUGAUACACCUACUUCCCACUGUUGGAUGUGAAGCUGAUGCUGCAACCAGACAUACCGUCGAUGAGAGACAUAUAGGAGGUGUGGAUAACAAAGUUUCAGCAUUUGCUUAUAACUCAAGUGGAUGUUAUGUAGCUGUCUGGCCAAAGGAAAAUAAGGGUGUCAGUUUACUUGAAUUAGAACAUUGCUUGGUUGAUCCUCAAAAUCGAGAGGUGCGUGUUAGGAUAGUUCAAGUUGUUCGGAUAGACGGGACAGCAUUUUCCUUGUUGAAGAUCAAAGUUUGCCGUGAACAAUGGUAUGGGCCGUUUAGAAAUGGGGAAUCCUUAGGUGGAUGUUCUAUACGUGAUGCCGCAUUUGCUAAAACGGAUGUCAUCAAAGGGUCAGAAGUUAUGGGUACAUGGAAAAGUUCAAAAUGUGUAGCCAGUUUUCAGAGUUCCGAAACUUUGUUUCAGAGUUUUUUCCAAGAACUUGCUGGAGAAAAGAGCCAACAAUCAGUAAGAGAUGAGCAAAAUCUUGUACUGCUUCCCAAACAGUUAUGGUGUUCAUUGAAAGAAACAGGAAAUGGAGAAACUUGUGCAGAAGUAGGAUGGUUACUAGAGCAAGGACGUGCAAUCACAUCAAGGUGUAUUUUCUCAGAAGACGGAAAAUUGCAGGAAAUUGCAGUUGGACAAGAACAUGCAAUGUUGGAGAACAGCCAGUAAAAAUCCAAUGUUUGAGCUCACAGGAAUUCAACUGUAUUUGUAUUGGUCAAUUAUACAUGUACCGCGGAGUAUAGGAAUCAUCCACAAAGUGCUUAGACAAAAGCUAUAGCAAAUUAUAGAUACAGCUACCAAAGCAUCAACUGGGAUCUUCAAGGCAACCGCUCAAAGCUUCACAGUGGGCAAAGGUGGAAGGAUCCAGAAGGCAAUUGUCAAAGAAUAAUAGACUAUGCAACCGCAAUAUAGAACUGAGUAAAGUGGCAGAAUCAAGCAACUUUGAAGGAAGCAAUGAGAACUUUGCAAGGAAGGAAAAGCACUCUUGAUCAGAUUUGCAACAACAGCAUGCCUAAUUUUAUAAAUUCUGCUUUAAUGAUAGAUAAAAACUCAAUUUUAAUUUCUAAUGUAUUUUCAGUUUCCGAGCCAACUGAACUGUUGGAUGAUACCACUAUUUUAGGCACCACUGCUAAGACAGGGGACCUUACAGGGAAUAGUCAGCUCCUUCAUAAAAAAAAAGUUCUAAUUCUCAAAGCACAGAUUUUAUGCAAUGCAUGUACUGGUCAACCUGACAACCUGCAAUCCCUAAAAUCUUCUUCUUCUUUUUUUUUUAAAGAAAGCCAGCUAAUUACAUAAUUGGAACAUGUUUACAAUCACGGUAACCUAUUUCUGUUGAUUGC